AUUGAACGCUGGCGGCAGGCCUAACACAUGCAAGUCGAGCGAGCGGCGGACGGGUGAGUAAUGUAUGGGGACUGCCCGAUAGAGGGGGAUAACUACUGGAAACGGUGGCUAAUCCCGCAUACUAUCGGAUAACCCAUAUGGGAUUAGCUAGUAGGUGGGGUAAAGGCUCACCUAGGCGAUGAGCUCUAGCUGGUCUGAGAGGAUGACCAGCCACAGGGGGAAGGAGACACGGCCCAACCUCCAAGGGAGGCAGCAGUGGGGAAUAUGGCAGAAGGGGCGGAAGUGUGAUGCGGCCAUGGCGGGAGUAUGAAGAGGGCCUUCGGGUUGUAAAGUACGUUCAGUGGGGAGGCGUUACCUGCAGAAGAAGCACCGGCUAACUCCGUGCCAGCCGCCGCGGUAAUUC
rnacentral:rRNA from 1 species